CAAAAACAUGUCUUUUUGAUUAUAAUUUAAAGUCUUGCCUGCCCAAUGAUUAAUUUAAUGGCCGCAGUAUUUUGACUGUGCAAAGGUAGCAUAAUCAUUAGUUUUUUAAUUGAAAGCUGGAAUGAAUGGUUUGAUGAGAAAUAGACUGUCUCUUUAUAAAUUUUUUAGAAUUUUAAUUUUAAGUGAAAAAGCUUAAAUUUAUUAUAAAGACGAGAAGACCCUAUAGAGUUUUAUUGUUUUGUUAAUAAAUUGUUUUUGGUUUUAAUAUUUUUUUAUUGAUUUAAUAAUUUUGUUGGGGUGAUGUAAAAACUUAAUUAACUUUUUAUUUAUUUUUACACUAAUGAGUGUGUUUUUGAUCCUUUAUUUAAGAUUAUAAGAAAAAAUUACCUUAGGGAUAACAGCGUAAUUUUUUUGGAAAGUUCUUAUUUAUAAAAAAGUUUGCGACCUCGAUGUUGGAUUAAAAUUAAUUUUUGGUGUAGAAGCUGAAAUAUUAGGUCUGUUCGACCUUUAAAAUUUUACAUGAUCU
rnacentral:rRNA from 1 species